CACACCUUAACACUUUUGCCUAUCCUCCUGCACUUAUUACCGAGACCCCCAUCCCCCAUGGAAUCAGUUUCAAGGAAAAUUUGUUGAUGAGGACCUUGAUCAAAUCUUGGGGGUGGUUAAGGCGGAAGCAAGGAGCCCUCCACCUCAAGCUACCCUAUCUGCUCUUGUUGGGGAGGAUGCCCCAAGAGGAGAUCCUCCACAGCUGAUUGUGGAGGAUGCUCCCAUCCCCUAAUAAGAGCCUGCCGCCCAAGAGACCCCAACCCCGUCUAACCAAGUUGCUGAAAAGAAGACUUCGAGUAUGGGGUAGUUGGUUGAUGUAUGCAAAACAAUAUUUCUUCUUUCUUUUCUUAGAAGGUUUUACCCCAAUACGGGGUGGCGAUGAAACAAUUUUAUUUUAUUUUGGUUUUCUUGAAUGCUUGUUUUCUUUCCUUUUCAUUGGCUAGGUUUUAGCCAGGAAAAAUGCUUUAAUCAAUUUUGCUUUCACCUAUUGAUGUUUGGGACUUGCCGCCUAUUGUUGCUUAUCGUGUUGCUUGCAUACUUACUUAUGUUUAGGCUGAUGGCUUGCUAUUUAUGCUUCGACUUGGAGCGUUGUUGUCAUGUAUGAACAGGGAGUAUAUGCAUAACCAUUUGGGGACAA